CAGUGAUUUAUUUAAGAAUUAUUUUUUCUAUUUAUUUUUCCCUUAAUUUUUUAUUUUGAAAGCUUUUUUUUAUUUCCAGAUAACAAUCUUUAUAUUAAUUUUUUUCGAACCUUGUUCGAUCAAAAACAGGGGAAGGGUGUUGACCAUGAGGUAACACACUAAAGAAUUUUUCAAAUCCCCCUUAUUUAAUAUCCCCCACUAAGACAAUUAAUCUAAACAAUCUCAAGUAUUAUAUAACCGUCUUUCCCAAACGCAAUAAUACACGCCAAGGUCAUUUGAAGGCGAAUGAUAUUAUUAUCAAAUAUAUAAGUAUAUAAAGGACGUGUUGAUCCACAAUCAAGUCAGAAUUAAACUAACUACCAUCCUCCUCACAACUGCUAUAUCUGUAUCUUAAAAAACCUACGUACUAUUUAUAUAUAAUUACUUAAGAAUACAACAGAAAAACUCCAAAGAAAUAUAUAACUAAGACGAACUUGUAUCCUCUUUCAUUAUCUAAGGUAAAAAAGUAUCUAAGCAAAAACGUCGUAAGGCCAAACAGUAAAAGGGGAACCGCUUCAAGGCGAAAUUGUCAAAAGGCGAAUACGUACAAGGCAAGCCUGUUAAAGGCAAAAAUGUUUUUUUAAUAUUUUUAAUAAUAAAUUCUAAAUAUGAUGACUUCAUCAACAAUACCAUGACUGAGGAGAGUGUAGUGCACGCCAGUAUUUUGAAUGACAACGUACACCUCGACAACAAAUAGGAAGAGGAUAUCUAUCUGGUCAGGAAUGUUAUGUAUUUCAUAUUUCCUUUCAUGUUCCUAUCUUCUUGUAUUUUCUUUUAUGUAUUAAAGUACUGUAUUUUACAUAGUAUAAAUGGUCGUGUAUUUUGUAAAUAAAUUAGAGUAUGGUUUUGUAUUAUAAAGAAUACACAUGAUCUUAUAAA
rnacentral:lncRNA from 1 species